UAUUUUUUUUAUUUAAAUUUAAUUGACACAAUUUUAAAUAACACAAUUUACUUAAAAAAUAAAUUGCAUUAAUAUUAAAAACCUAAAAAUUACAUUAAAAAAAAUCUAAAGACAUAAUUUAAAAUUACUUAAAAAAAACCUAAAGACAUAAUUAAAAAUUAUAUAAAAAAACCUAUCUAGUCUCCACCGCCCCUUCGCCGAGCUAGGAUCUCCGCCACCCGUUUCGUGUGCCAUUCGAGCUGCUUCGGAGUCAUGUCGGAAGUCUUCAUGAACAUGACCCGAUCGUCAUGGAUCUCCCUCUUGAGAGAGAAUG
rnacentral:lncRNA from 1 species